CCAUCACCCUUCAUUAACCCAAAAACCCCUAAAAAAAUCCCUAACCUAGGAACACCAGCGAAGAACAGACCCCUCCUUCCAAACACCAUCAACGAUCCUUCUUCUUGAUUCUAUUCCAACGCCCAGCCAAAAACCAACGGCCGUCGCCGCCGGAAAAGCCUCCCUUCUCCAAAAUUAGCUGCCACCUAUCGCCACUUCUUCUUCUUCGCUUCUCCACCCUUCAACUCCAGCCGCACACCACAAAAUCGGUGCCCGAUGACGACCCCAAUACAGCCAUCACAAGUCCCAAAAUCAGCCCGAACUUAGCUAAGAUUACUCUCCAAAGCAGACUCAAAAUGACUCCAAACAGUCCUCAAAGCUGUCACCAAAAAUCAGUAAAAACGGGUUCCUUAACUGAAGUUAAAAGAAGCUUGGAGAGUCGAGUUUUCAGUUCGCUGUCGAUAGUUACCGGAGGUUUCCUGUCAUGUUCGCCGCUCCGUCAACGUUGUCGCAGUCUAAGGUUUCCGAUGUUGAGCAUUUUGCGAUUCAAAUUUAUUUUGCUUUAAGGUAUGGAUCAGUGUACCAGAGCUCGAGCAUGACAGAUACCCCAAGACCAUCGCAUUUGGGAGUUUGUUUGAAGAGACUUUAUAUUUUGAGUCUGUUUUCAUAUUUUCUUUCUUGUAUUGUCUAGUAGUUUUGAGUCUUUUAGCUGGUGUAAGAGUUUGCCGAGUCUUUUUUCAUCGUACUUCCCAUUUGUAUAUGAAGAAAGAAAUAGUUACAAAUGAAAAAUUCAAAAGUUUUUUGUCUUUAGUU